rnacentral:rRNA from 1 species
GGGAGGGGGCGGGGAGACGGACGACGAGAAGAGGGGGUUUAGGUCGGGGCGGCAGCUCGUGGAGGCGGGGUUGCGGUCGCUGAGGCGGGUGAUGGGUAGCGGCCUGGGGAGCGCUGGAGGCGGGAGAUGGGGUUGCGGCCGCUGGGGGUGGUAGACGUAGAGGGGAGGGGAAGAGAGGUCGUUUUAGGUGGCCUAGCUGAGCUGGGUGUUUCCGGCGCGGGUCUAGGCGGCCAUCUCCUCCUCCUCGGAGGAGGGCGGUGGUGGAACGGAGGAGGGCGGUGCUCGUCUCGUCUAGCCCGGCGUACUGUCGCCCGUACCUCCUCCUGCGCCGCCGACGACGACGGCGCCGCGGGCUGAGCACCCUCUACCGGAUGGAGCUACCCAGGUACUCGGCGGACAAGGAGAGGAGGAGGAGGAGGCCACCGCGCCGUGUUUCCCAGAGGAGGAGCGGGCUGGAGCGGCUGCUGGCGGUAGUCGAAGAGCUACCAAGUCCCGGGCGGCGGCGAAGUCCCGGGGGAGUAGGGUGGUGGCCAAGUCCCACAAGAGCCGGAGUCUAGCACACGGAACCACAAAACAGGACUUUAUCCGAGAUACAUAUGUAGAAAGGACACACCUAACAAGAAAAGUACGACAAUUUAUAACUGUUUGACAACCUCGUCACAAGGACGGUUCCUGAGAUUAACUAGUCACGUAAAAGCUUAACUUAGAUCGGGACAACCUUUACUACACUUGUACGACAAAAAAACAUCAGUACGAAUGAAUUUUCUAUGACUAAGUAUCUAGUAAUCCAUCGAUCGGAAUGUGUACGAUACUUUACACACUGAACAAACUCCUCCAUCGACAAACUUCUAGAGACGUCGGCAACGGAUGAUCAUGUAAGUAUCAUCUACCGAGAACGACAAACUGGGACAAGUAUAUAUGUUAAAAACAAACCUUCUAGAGUGUUUGACUAUCAUCUCAAUCUCGUAUAAGUACUCACGGAACUGAACAGUAUAACGGUCGUCUAAACACUCUCUACAUGUUCCAGUAAUUCGACACAAACACAAGGACAGAAAACGUAUUGACAACAUCCUCGGAAGGACCACCAAUCACAGAAACAAUCGAAAGACUUUAUCGUAAUUCUUUUACGAGUCUACACUUAUUUGACAAACUGAGAUUAUCUAACCACAGGGAAGGUUCAAUAGAAUGUAUAAAGACGAAGUAAGAUACCAAAAUAACUAUCAUCGAGUAAUCAGAGUACCAAUACCUCCAAAUGGAUCAAAUAAUAACUACAGAAAAGACAUCAAAAAAACCAAUCGAAAUGAGAAAAGGAUUAAUGGUACGAACAUUAUAAACAACUACUUGGUCAUCAAAAUUCCGUAAACGUCAUCGAAGGCAACACUAAAUACUAUCAGUCGAUUCCAAGGGGCCCAAGUCAAUGCUUUAACAGAAACACACAAAGGGAGGGAACGAAUAGAAGACCGACCACUCGUAAAACGACGUGUUACGAGUAAAACGACGAUCACAGGAAAAGUGUCAAAAAAAUGAUACAAAACCGGAUCAAAACAAGUGCACAUAUUAUUCGUAGGACUUACGAGUAAAUCGUCACAUAAUUAUUGUGACGAACAAAACAAGUGCACAUAAGUCUAAUUAUGUGACACAAUAAUUCGACGUGUUACGAGUAGGACAACCGAUGAACAGCUACAAUAGGCGUAUUGAUAUCCGACGGUACAGAAAAGGUGAAAAGAAAAGCGAAAGACAUUACGAUUGAACUGCCAUUGGGAUAUCAAACAACCGACAACGUUGGGUCGUCGCCACGAAGGUAAAAUUGCGUACAUGAUCACACGAUUUUGAACGUUUUCUGUGUUUAGAACUCGAAAGAAAUAGCCGAACAACGACGACGAGGAACACAUGUUACUAACUACAACAACAUCAAUCACAACAUCUCCUUCUUUCUCCUACAUAAAUAUAAUGAACGAAGACGACGAAUAUAUAUCUGGACAUACAUACAAAUGAAGUAAAGAAGGAACAGAGAAGCUAGGGGAGGAUUACUUAAACAAACAAGCUAAACCUAAUCGUCCGAGCAGGGACCUGGUCUACAAGUUCAUGUCGGGGUAGGUGGCGUAGCUGGACCUCGGUCUACGACCCGAAAUUACAAAGAAGCACUCGUAGUCAUUUUUCUUCAGCCUCCUUCUUAUCAAGAACGAGUAACCUCGAUCAAGACUCUCAUUACCUCAGGAAAUACGACGAGGAUAAACAUACACACAAUACACUACAUCGUCUUACACCGAGGACACUAACAUGUGAACACCUCGAACAAUAGACUAACAUUUGAACUACGACUAGUGUAAACAUACACACAAUAUACUACAUCGUGAAACUACCAACUAUUAUAAACU